GUGAGGAAUAUUCCACAAUGGACGAAAGUCUGAUGGAGCAACGCCGCGUGGAGGAUGAAGGUCUUUGGAUCGUAAACUCCUUUUCUCAGGGAAGAGAAUGGACGGUACCUGAGGAAUAAGUCACGGCUAACUACGUGCCAGCAGCCGCGGUAAUACGUAGGUGGCGAGCGUUAUCCGGAAUUACUGGGCGUAAAGCGCACGCAUGCGGUCUUUUAAGUUUGACGUGAAAGCUCCCGGAUUAACUGGGAGAGGUCGUUGAAUACUGGGAGACUUGAGGCAAUGAGAGGGAUGCAGAAUUCCUGGUGUAGUGGUGGAAUGCGUAGAUAUCAGGAGGAAUACCAGUGGAGAAAGCGGCAUCCUAUCGUUGGCCUGACGCUCAUGUGCGAAAGCGUGGGGAGCGAACGGGAUUAGAAACCCCAGUAGUCC
rnacentral:rRNA from 1 species